GCCAGAUGUGGUGGUGCACACCUGUAAUCCCAGCUACUUGGGAAGCUGAGGCAGAAGGAUUAUAAGUCCAAGGCCAACUUGGGCAACUCUAGUCCCCGUCUCAA
rnacentral:sRNA from 1 species